AGGACGAACGCUGGCGGCGUGCUUAACACAUGCAAGUCGAGCGGUAAGGCCUUUCGGGGUACACGAGCGGCGAACGGGUGAGUAACACGUGGGUGAUCUGCCCUGCACUUCGGGAUAAGCCUGGGAAACUGGGUCUAAUACCGGAUAUGACCUCCUAUCGCAUGGUGGGUGGUGGAAAGAUUUAUCGGUGCAGGAUGGGCCCGCGGCCUAUCAGCUUGUUGGUGGGGUAAUGGCCUACCAAGGCGACGACGGGUAGCCGACCUGAGAGGGUGACCGGCCACGACUGGGACUGAGACACGGCCCAGACUCCGUACGGGAGGCAGCAGUGGGAAUAUGCACAAUGGGACAAAGCCUAGAUGCAGCGACGCCGCGUGAGGAUGACGGCUUCGGGUUGUAAACCUCUUUCGAGCGAGGACAAGCCGGCAAGGUGACCGGUACUGGACACGGUAAGAAGCCGACCGGCUAAACGUCGUAGACCGAGCG
rnacentral:rRNA from 1 species